AGUGCCUUUUGUACAUUCUACUAAUGAUUACUUAGCUAUCUUUGUUUCUGUAUAGGAUUUUUGAGUUAUGAUUUUGGCUCAUGUUUUGUUGUCACUGUCAUCCCUUGUAGGUAUAAGGUAUAGAUACAAAUAUAGUUGUUGCUCAUCUCUGAUGUAACUUAAAUUGGUUAGAAUUUACUGCACUGAUCUUUCAAGCUUCUUAACCAUACAGAUAGACAAUCCCUUCCCGCUGGAGUCAGAUAAAGGGGGAAAAUCACCUUCAUCUUUCAAUUGGUAUGAUUGUAUCCCAAUCCUAUCUUGAUCCAUGGCCAAAACAGGUUUUGGCCCUUGCAUCCCUGGUAUUGCUUGGCUCACACUAGAGUUGUGAGCUGGUGCAGAACCUGGGUUUGGAUGCCUACCACCUUCUGUUGCGGAGACACCAUGUGGUGGAUGCCCAAAUGACCCAAAUUCUACCAUGCUCUCUGACAGAUGCAUUGAACCAUUUACACUGGAACAAUGUUUGUUUUCAGGAGAACCAGUGUAGCAAAGAUCUGAAGAUCUGAACUUUCCACCACUUAGGUGGAUGUGAAACUGUGCUUGUGACAGCUCACGGUCUCGGCAGUUUCUUUCUGGCAAAUUUUUCUCCUGGGAAGUGCGACCAUUGGAUCGAGGAGACCUUGCUGGUGCUUGACUCCUACCCCUAGCUGUCAAAGUCCUAUCCCUGUAAUGGUUCGUGUUGGGAAAAUAUGUCCCUGUUCCUCGUGGCUUUGGCAUUUCUUCCAUACCAAAGGCUCCACCAGGCAGCAUAGGUGGGUUAAUGGGGUAGAAAACUGGUCUUGGGACAACACCAUUGACAUUCAUCUGGGAGAACACAUCCUGCCUAAACUGCACCGACCGUCUUAUUACAUCCCAUGAAUUCUUGCUCUGGAACUGAGUAUGCAGCUGUGGAGACACAGAAGGAAGGGAUGUAGUAAAUGCGUACUCAUACCACAAUCGACCAUGUUGCAAACUGUUUAGGUGACUCUCAUAAUCCCCACUAAGAUCUGACAAGGACUUGAAGCCUUCAGGAUUUCCAGCAGUACUAGCAGAGGCACGAUUGUUGGAAUGGCUAGGAUAAAGAUCUUCAGAGGACCAAGCCACUGAACUGAAGAGUAAUGGAUGAUAUGUUGAACCCGCUGGGGAUAGAACCUCAGGUUUAGCAACCAAAUGCUUGUCAUCUGUGUCAUUACAGACAGAAUGGAUCAUAUCCUCAGUGGGAGCUAGCAUAAUCCCAGAAGGCACUCUCUUCACCAUAAAGCCAGAACUUUCUUGAUGUUUCCAUUCUGGAUUCCCAUUUCUCAUUUCCCCAUUUCCCAUGACUGAG
rnacentral:misc_RNA from 1 species